GCUGCCUGAACGUUGUGGCUGCCCGUUUCAGUUGAGCCAAACCUGUCACUACGAGGGGCGACCUGUGUCGUCAUCGAGCGUGAGUGAUGCGAAUACUUUCGUGGACACCAUCUUCAAGGAACGUGUGCCACAGCUUGUGAGGGGAUCGCCGCGGCUUUUUCCCUACGCUGCCAUCGGAGACUUCAGCUUCACGGUACCUAAGAACAAGCUCACCAACCGUGACCUGACGGUGAACAUGACACAUGGUGAGGUUAGAGGCCUGGACACUGCUCUGCAACGGUAGGGAGACUGUCAUGCGCCCAUCUUCCAUGACGGACUGACCAUCUUCGCCUGCAACCUUACCAUGCAAGGACUUAAUAUUACCUUCUCUUCGCUGGCAAGCGGAGACUCUCUGUUCUCCAUUUGGAAAACCAUCUGGGUGAACGUAGCGGUGACGGACAGUACAAUUCAGUUCGAAGCUAAAGCUCCCAGCGACCACGAGGGCGGGUCCGUCCGCGAAUUCGUCCUCCAUGACUGGAAGCUCGACGUCACGGACGACAGCAACCUGAACCUCAACGAGGGCCGCCGCGAGAAGUUCAAGGAAGAAGUCGUGGCUAAAGUCAAGGAAGGGCUACGACCCAUUUUAUUUGAAUACCUGUCGCUUCUCUGCCGUGCUGUAGAGAUGUAUAGGAACACUGGCGACUCAUAUUAAGUCCAAUGUGUGAGAUCGUUACUGUUGCCGAAUUAACCUCGUCUGAGUGAUGACACGAAUCAAGCAGUCUCUUUUCAUUCAAAGCGCAGGUAUGCUGUUUUGGUCUCCUAUGCGAGACACUCAGCAUUAUUUGUGCAAAGACUUUUAGUAUUGCAUGAACCCCUCUCCAGUUUAUUAAAGGAAAUCAUGGCCAAUUCUUGGCUUGCGCGAGAAAAGUGCCCGCAACUCUGGCAAUGUAACCCCACAAUGGUGUAGCUGCUAGUCAAAGCAGAGGAGACGCCUCGUUUGCGGCUCCCUAAAAUAAAGAAAGCAUUCUUUGCAAUUCUGAUGGUCUGUGGUUAA